AUUGAACGCUGGCGGUAGGCCUAACACAUGCAAGUCGAACGAGUGGCGGACGGGUGAGGAAUACAUAGGAAUCUACCCUGUGGUGGGGGAUAACGAAGGGAAACUGACGCUAAUACCGCAUACGAUUGGAUGAGCCCAUGUCGGAUUAGCUAGUUGGCGGGGUAAGGGCCCACCAAGGCGACGAUCCGUAGCUGGUCUGAGAGGAUGAUCAGCCACACUGGAACUGGGACACGGUCCAGACUCCUACGGGAGGCAGCAGUGGGGAAUAUUGGACAAUGGGCGCAAGCCUGAUCCAGCCAUACCGCGUGUGUGAAGAAGGCCUUCGGGUUGUAAAGCCCUUUUGUUGGGAAAGCGGUACCCAAAGAAUAAGCACCGGCUAACUCCGUGCCAGCAGCCGCGGUAAUAC
rnacentral:rRNA from 1 species